GAUUCUGGCUCAGGAUGAACGCUAGCGACAGGCUUAACACAUGCAAGUCGAGGGGCAGCAUAAAAGUAGCAAUACUUGGUGGCGACCGGCGCACGGGUGAGUAACGCGUAUGCAACCUACCUAUCAGAGGGGAAUAACCCGGCGAAAGUCGGACUAAUACCGCAUAAAACAGGGACACCGCAUGGUGAUAUUUGUUAAAGAAAUUCGCUGAUAGAUGGGCAUGCGUUCCAUUAGGUAGUUGGUGAGGUAACGGCUCACCAAGCCGACGAUGGAUAGGGGAACUGAGAGGUUGGUCCCCCACACUGGUACUGAGACACGGACCAGACUCCUACGGGAGGCAGCAGUGAGGAAUAUUGGUCAAUGGGCGAGAGCCUGAACCAGCCAAGUCGCGUGAAGGAAGAAGGAUCUAUGGUUCGUAAACUUCUUUUGCAGGGGAAUAAAGUGCAGGACGUGUCCUGUUUUGUAUGUACCCUGAGAAUAAGGAUCGGCUAACUCCGUGCCAGCCGCGGC
rnacentral:rRNA from 1 species